rnacentral:lncRNA from 1 species
UUUUUUUUCCACGUUUUAGAAGUAGCAUUUGAUUUACUUUUAUCUCUUCAAUUUAUUCUCAUUUUGUUCCUGGUUUACCUUCUUGAAUAUGGCAUGAACUCUACAGUAGCCUUUUUAACACUGUAUCUACUCAUUCUACCUUUUGUUUCAUUUCUGGAUCUGUUUCUAUCUGGCUGCUUCUUGUACCUCUGUGGUGGUUCUUUUCUUGGCCUCAGAUACUUUCCUCUCAUGCAUGUACAGAAUAGUACUUGGCCAAAGUUUUGAGGAGCUCCUACAUAAGAUCCCUUUUGUGUGGUGCCUGCUUUCCAGUGUUCUACUUACAGAUCUCAGUUGCCUUGGCCUCCCUGCAGAAUUAGGACUGCAUGAUGACUUUUUGGAUAAAUGAAUUUUUACCAUUCAGAAGUUUUGGGCUUGGUUCAUUUUCCUCCUUCCCCACACAGGUUCUAAACAAGACAAAUGUUGUAAGGAAGAGAUCAGUUGUGUAUUUGUUGAAGCUCCUACCUCUAUUAGAAUUAUGUGUCCUAAGUGCCACAGACUGUAUGAGAUUGCUUCUUAGACCACAGCCACCUCCUCCAGUGGGGUUCUUGAACCCUUUAGAUUGAGAUCCUGGUAGGUGUCUGUUUUGACAGCCCCAUAAAUUCCCUUCUUUGGAUUUUGGAGCCUCACUGUGGGGCAGGGGGGCGGUGCUGGGGAUGGAAUCCAGUGCAUAGUAAGUGUACAUUCUACACUGAACUACCCCCCACCCAGCCUGGGCCUCAUUCUAGUCUCCUGCUUCCAUUAGGUUCAAAUUUGGCAAAUGCCUUUAGUGGGCAAUCAGCUGCAUAUUUUUUACAGAUCCCCUUCUCUGUAGAAGUACUUUGUGUCCUAAACAUCAUGACACUGUGACAGAUUUCUCUCUGCCUUUCUGAUCUAGCCCCUUCAAGUCUCCUGACUGGCUUAGAACUCUAAAAAUAUUCAUGAUGUGAACUGACUUUGCAUGUGAUUUCCUCCAUGGUAUACAUGAUCACCAGAAACUGAUGGUUUCACUUGACCCGCAGUAGCAUGCUUCAGCUUCAGCCCAUGCCCCAAAGCAUCACAUAUCCCCUCCAAAAAAAAUGACCAACAAUCGUCACUUAACCUAAGGAAGGCUCUUCCCUUUCUGGAAUUUUAGUUUACAUAGACCUUGUGAAUCCACAGCUUUUUGGUAUCUUUAUAAAUUAUUUUGCAAUUUAUUCAUUUUUUUCCCAGUUUUGCAGCAAUAGUGCCAGCACACAAGACAUACUACAUCCUAUAGGAGUGGAAGUCAGACUGAAAGGUUUAAGGCCUUGUUUUCUACCUUGAGCACAUUGCUUCACCUCUGCUUAGUGUAUUUCCCCUCUUUGAGUCCACAGUUCUUGACUGCCACCUACUAGUCUCUGGUCUAAAAUGUCAUUCUGUGCUGGAGCCUUUGGCUUUGGCAUGCCUAGGUGUUUCCCUAGCUGGGACUCAUCUAAAUCCUCUUGCACUCCAGCCUGUUGUGUUCAUUUUUACAGGACCAGGAAUAAAACCUCCACAGGAACGGACAAUUGAAUACCUAGAAGAAGUAGCAGUUACUUUUGCCAAUGGACUAGUUGAUAAGAAGAUCUCUCCUAAGAGAAACAAGGGAUUGAUGGAAAGUGAGUAUCUUUGUAAAGAACAAAGGCAA